UACGUAGGUGGCAAGCGUUGUCCGGAUUUACUGGGCGUAAAGAGCGCGCAGGCGGUCGUUCAAGUCGAGUGUGAAAGCCCCCGGCUCAACUGGGGAGGGUCACUCGAUACUGAUCGACUCGAAGGCAGAAGAGGGAAGCGGAAUUCCCGGUGUAGUGGUGAAAUGCGUAGAUAUCGGGAGGAACACAGUGGCGAAGGCGGCUUUCUGGUCUGCU
rnacentral:rRNA from 1 species